ACCCGAGCGCGGGUGCAGGGCGCAGCGGCGCAGCAGGGAGCAUCCCCGGGGGCGCACUGCCAGCCCGACCCGAGGGGAAGCGCGCGGCGCGCGGCAUGGGCUGCGGACCUUCCCGGGCUGCUGAAGACCAGAGACGCGUGCCCGCGCCCAGGAAGGGCUGGGAGGAGGGAUUUAAGGCUGAUGUCGGUGGGACUCAUUCCAGGGAGGACAGCAGGCCCCAGAAUGAAGCUGCACUACCCAAGGACACUGUGGGCAGCCCCGACAGCCUGGAAAACCAGGCUCCAUUGGGAAGCUUACCUGGAACCAUACCAGAAAGUUCCCCAGCUCUUAGUGAAAGAAACAGAAGAAUAAAUUCAGACCUAGUGACCGGAUUAAUCCGUAAACCCCAACCCCUAGAGAGCCAAGAGAGACAAAAGUCAUCAGACAUUCUGGAGGAAUUAAUUGUUCAAGGAAUAAUACAAAGCCACAGCAAAGUAUUUGGAAAUGGAGAAUCUUAUGAUGUCAUGGUAAACACGACUCCGCUGAGAAAGCCACCAGCCAGGCUGAAAAAGCUUAAGCUCAAAAUGGAAGCAAAAGCAUUCACAGUGAACGACCUGGAAGAGAAGAUGCAGGCGGUGGAGAGGCGCAGGAAGACUAAAGAAGAAGACAUAAGGGAAAGGCUGAGGAGCCACCGACUUUUGGCCAAUCAUCCAGAGGCAGCGGAACCGGUUGGGGCUGAGGUUCCCUCUGCCAAAGGACUCGACGCAGUGACCUCUGCUGAGUUUGAGCCGGCCCACCUGCAGGGAGCAAAGCCUCUGAAGAGGAAGAAGAACGGUGCAAUCUCUAGUGAAAGAAACUUCAGUUACGAAGGACUUGGGGUGGUGGAGUCAGACCGGUCCUACAACCAAGCGGAUGAUGCAUUUGAAUAAAGCCACCUUACCCGAAUUUCGUGAAAAGGAUGGCCAGUGCAAAUGAACCCAAGGUCGGAUGCAACCAGCUUUGUAGACCCACUGCAGACUCUGCUCCUGACUUCGCGUCAUCACAGCUCCCGUUCAGCACAUGGAGACCUCAAGCAUGCUUCAAAAGCCCACGUGAUAAAGAGAAAACAAGAGUGACAAUUACAUCUCACCUCUGAGGGGGCUUUUCAUGGAUCCGGAAUAAAGGCGAGCUGCAUUUGCAAAGUGUUAUUGCCAGAAAAGCCGUUUGCAGGGAAGGGAACUUGACGAUGCAGGAAAUCGCCGUUUCCACAGAUACCCCAGCAAUGAGUGACUGCUUGAUUAGCUUCGACGGCUUGGAACCAUUUGUGCGAUUUUCCAGGAAGGGACUGCUUCUCCCUUCAUCCCUCCAAACUUGCUGUAAUCUGUGCAGUUCGAAUGCUGGAAAUCCUCACUGGAAAACACAAACAAGUCAUCAUCAGCUGCAACAGCAGAAGUAGAGAAGUUCAUCUGGACUUGAGUCCUCAGCCCAAGGUGAACAAUUGCUGGGCUGCAAAUCAGUUGCUAGAAAGACUGAUAUCUCCAGUGUGACAUGCUAUAAUCGCAAGAAGGAAGGAAGUGAUGCCCUGGAUAGACGGCCUUGGAGUAUGGCCUUGGCUAAAAUAUUACAUUCCACUCUCUAAUGUAAAACUCAGAGGUUCAAUAUGGUCCAGUCAUGGGCAAUUUCAUGUCACUCUGUCUGAUAAAGGCCUGCUAUUUCAUAUGAUCAAGGGGCAUAGCAAGACCUGCACAAGCAAUGCUCCCAACUUGGGGGACACUGGGACCCUCACGUGCCCCCUGGAGCCUCUGAACAACCAGCCAGCUUGAUCCCUCCCUGAGGUGCCUGCUAUUUAACCGUCUCUCCAGUAUAUCCCUAUCAUCUCAAUAAAAUC